AGCGCGAAGACGGAGCUCCCGUACCUGCGCUGCAACAAGCGAAGAAGCGCAGCUCGCGGAGGAUUUCCGAAAUCAGUUAACGGUAGCGUCCGCAGGAUUUGACACUUAAUCAUGGACGACCUUUCCGUUAUGGCGUGCGUUUGGCGUCGGACAUCAGUGAAAAGCGAAGGCUUUUUCUAAGUAUAGCCUCCAUUUCUUUCUUAAGUGUGAUACAUAUUUACCAUUAGUUUGGUUGUGUUUAAUUCCUGCAGGGCAUAUUACGAUGGAGCGCUGAAAUGGGAGUGCUUGUGAGUAUCGUUCGAGUAGUACGCUCGAGAGAUUGCCACUCGGUAAGAAAACUUUAAAGCUCGUUUCUUUAUUUUUUCAGGUGGGGAUAUAUGAUAAAUAAUUUACAGAUUUUGCUACGGCCACUGCUCCAGGCAACGUUGGAACUCUGCUGGGCCCUGGCAAAACUAUCUUCAUUUUUCCUUGAUGCUGUUCACAAACACGAAUGGACUGCUCAGAUGUUUGUCUGUAACUUUCGUUCGGACAGAUUUUCAAGAAAUCUCACGGACAUACAGUGCUAUUCUGCUUGUUCAGGUGGAUUACCUCAAGUGGCAGACAUUAUUUUCACGAGAAAUACCAGUGUCCAGGUAGGGAAUCCAAACUAUUCAAUAGUUAACUUCGAACGUUUUCAUUAUAAGACACACAUUGAAAUCGUGAAAUUGAAACCGAAAAGUAGUGAAGUCUAUCAAUCACCUUGCACCUAUUGACUAGCACCAGUAUUGAAAUAUACAUCGCUAAAAUU